AUUGAACGCUGGCGGCAUGCCUAACACAUGCAAGUCGAACGGUAACGCGGGGGCAACCCUGGCGACGAGUGGCGGACGGGUGAGUAAUACGUAGGAAUCUGCCCAUUUGUGGGGGAUAACCCGGCGAAAGCCGGGCUAAUACCGCAUACGCUCUACGGAGGAAAGCAGGGGAUCGUAAGACCUUGCGCUAAUGGAUGAGCCUACGUCGGAUUAGCUAGUUGGUAGGGUAACGGCCUACCAAGGCGACGAUCCGUAGCUGGUCUGAGAGGACGGUCAGCGACACUGGGACGGAGACACGGCCCAGACUCCUACGGGAGGCAGCAGUGGGGAAUAUUGGACAAUGGGGGCAACCCUGAUCCAGCAAUGCCGCGUGUGUGAAGAAGGCCUGCGGGUUGUAAAGCACUUUCAGAGGGGAAGAAAAAAUCGGAGCUAACACCUCCGAGCUUGACGUUACCCUUAGAAGAAGCACCGGCUAACUCCGUGCCAGCCGCCGCCGUAA
rnacentral:rRNA from 1 species